UCAGAAAAAUACCUAACUGAUAACAGUUGGCCAGAGUCCUGAGCUAGAAAAUUGGGACCUGCUGCAUUUCCCUCCCCCUCGCUGUCUGCAUCAUGUGCGGUAUCCACCUUCUCUCUCCUGUCAUGUCACUUCGUCCUCACUGCAGGUUGAGAGCAGCUGUGUCCUCCACUGUUGUGUGGCUGACUGUAGUGCAAAAGCAUGGACUUCUAUGUCAGGUCUGGUGCUACUUCAUGUGGUUUCUCUGUGUGGAUUGCCUCAUCAUCCCAGAAAAGAUGCUUCUGCUUCCUACCAGUCCUUAAUGAAAAAGCACACACUGCAGGUCCUGAAGUUGAAACUGAGAAGAGCAGCAAAGCAGAGUAAUUCAAAGUCUUAUAGACAACUGUCAGCCUACAAUACCAUAGUGAAAGAGAGUCUCCAAAGAACACGUCUACUCAGGGGACUGAGUACUGCAAUGGGCACAUGCAUCCAUGGUAACUGUAUGUCACUCAGGGAAACAGAUAUUUUUAUGUUUUUUUUUUUUUUUUAAAUUUUGUUUUG